rnacentral:rRNA from 1 species
CAUGCUUAGACGAGUUUGAUCAUGGCUCAGAAUGAACGUUGGCGGCGUGGAUUAGGCAUGCAAGUCGUGCGAGAAGCUCUUUCGGGAGCGGACAGCGGCGAAAGGGAGAGGAAUACGUAGAAAUCUACCCUCGGGUCUGGGGAUAGCGUCGGGAAACUGGCGGUAAUACCAGAUAACGUCUUCGGACCAAAGGUGUGAUUCCACCUGAGGAUGAGUCUACGUCCUAUUAGCUAGUUGGCGGGGUAAUGGCCCACCAAGGCAACGAUGGGUAGCGGGUGUGAGAGCAUGAUCCGCCUCACUGGGACUGAGAACUGCCCAGACACCUACGGGUGGCUGCAGUCGAGAAUCUUUGUCAAUGGACGAAAGUCUGAACAAGCGACGCCGCGUGCGGGAUGAAGGCCCUCGGGUUGUAAACCGCUGUCGUAGGGGAGCAAAUGGUUUGGGGUACUCCCCUUUCCUUGAGCGAUCCUAGGAGGAAGGACGGGCUAAGUUCGUG